AGCGAACGCAGGCGGCAGGCCUAACACAUGCAAGUCGAACGGACCCUUCGGGGUUAGUGGCGGACGGGUGAGUAACACGUGGGAACGUGCCCUUAGGUUCGGAAUAGCUCCUGGAAACGGGCGGUAAUGCCGAAUGUGCCCUUCGGGGGAAAGAGUUAUCGCCUUUGGAGUGGCCCGCGUCUGCUUAGCUAGUUGGUGAGGUAAUGGCUCACCAAGGCGACGAGCAGUAGCUGGUCUGAGAGGAUGACCAGCCACAUUGGGACUGAGACACGGCCCAAACUCCUACGGGAGGCAGCAGUGGGGAAUCUUGCGCAAUGGGCGAAAGCCUGACGCAGCCAUGCCGCGUGGAUGAUGAAGGUCUUAGGAUUGUAAAAUCCUUUCACCGGUGAAGAUAAUGACUGUAGCCGGAGAAGAAGCCCCGGCUAACUUCGUGCCAGCAGCCGCUGUAAUAC
rnacentral:rRNA from 1 species